GGGUUGUGAGGUUAAGCGACUAAGCGUACACGGUGGAUGCCCUGGCAGUCAGAGGCGAUGAAGGACGUGCUAAUCUGCGAUAAGCGUCGGUAAGGUGAUAUGAACCGUUAUAACCGGCGAUUUCCGAAUGGGGAAACCCAGUGUGAUUCGUCACACUAUCGUUAACUGAAUACAUAGGUUAACGAAGCGAACCGGGGGAACUGAAACAUCUAAGUACCCCGAGGAAAAGAAAUCAACCGAGAUUC
rnacentral:rRNA from 1 species